rnacentral:rRNA from 1 species
UGGGGAAUUUUGGACAAUGGGCGCAAGCCUGAUCCAGCAAUGCCGCGUGAGUGAAGAAGGCCUUCGGGUUGUAAAGCUCUUUUGUCAGGGAAGAAACGGUGGAGGCUAAUAUCCUCUACUAAUGACGGUACCUGAAGAAUAAGCACCGGCUAACUACGUGCCAGCAGCCGCGGUAAUACGUAGGUACCGAGCGUUAUCCGGAUUUACUGGGCGUAAAGCGUGUUCAGGCGGUCUGGCAAGUCGGGCAUGAAAUCUCUCGGCUCAACCGGGAGGGGUUGUCCGAUACUGCUGGGCUUGAGGGCAGCAGAGGGUGGUGGAAUUCCGGGUGUAGUGGUGAAAUGCGUAGAUAUCCGGAGGAACACCAGUGGCGAAGGCGGCCACCUGGGCUGUACCUGACGCUCACACACGAAAGCUAGGGGAGCGAA